AGUGAACGCUGGCGGUAGGCCUAACACAUGCAAGUCGAACGGCAGCACAGUAAGAGCUUGCUCUUACGGGUGGCGAGUGGCGGACGGGUGAGGAAUACAUCGGAAUCUACUUUUUCGUGGGGGAUAACGUAGGGAAACUUACGCUAAUACCGCAUACGACCUACGGGUGAAAGCAGGGGAUCUUCGGACCUUGCGCGAUUGAAUGAGCCGAUGUCGGAUUAGCUAGUUGGCGGGGUAAAGGCCCACCAAGUCGACGAUCCGUAGCUGGUCUGAGAGGAUGAUCAGCCACACUGGAGCUGAGACACGGUCCAGACUCCUACGGGAGGCAGCAGUGGGGAAUAUUGGACAAUGGGCGCAAGCCUGAUCCAGCCAUACCGCGUGGGUGAAGAAGGCCUUCGGGUUGUAAAGCCCUUUUGUUGGGAAAGAAAAGCAGCAGGUUAAUACCCCGCUGUUCUGACGGUACCCAAAGAAUAAGCACCGGCUAACUUCGUG
rnacentral:rRNA from 1 species